rnacentral:rRNA from 1 species
GACGAACGCUGGCGGCGUGCUUAACACAUGCAAGUCGAACGGAAAGGCCCUGCUUUUGUGGGGUGCUCGAGUGGCGAACGGGUGAGUAACACGUGAGUAACCUGCCCUUGACUUUGGGAUAACUUCAGGAAAUUGGGGCUAAUACCGGAUAGGAGCUCCUGCUGCAUUGUGUGGUUUGGAAAUUUUCGGCGGUUGGGGAUGGACUCGCGGCUUAUCAGCUUGUUGGUGGGGUAGUGGCUUACCAAGGAUUUGACGGGUAGCCGGCAUGAGAGGGUGACCGGCAACAUUGGGACUGAGAGACGGACCAGAAUACUACGGGAGGCAGCAGUGGGGAAUAGUGCACAAUGGGAGGAAGCCUGAUGCAGAAACGCAGCGUGCGGGAUGACGGCCUUCGGGUUGUAAACCGCUUUCGCCUGUGACGAAGAGUGAGUGACGGUAAUGGGUAAAGAAGCACCGGCUAACUACGUG